rnacentral:sRNA from 1 species
GCUGUAGGUGGUACCUUUGCAGACGGUGCGAUGGGGGAAGCAGAGAAGUUUCACUACAUCUAUAGUUGUGACCUGGAUAUCAACGUCCAGCUUAAGAUUUUUUGCAGAAGGGAAGCCUUUGGCCUUGCCAGUGAGAACAUCCUACAAAGCAUUUAGUACAAGAUGGAA